rnacentral:rRNA from 1 species
CAUGCAAGUCGAACGCUUUUUCUUUCACCGGAGCUUGCUCCACCGAAAGAAAAAGAGUGGCGAACGGGUGAGUAACACGUGGGUAACCUGCCCAUCAGAAGGGGAUAACACUUGGAAACAGGUGCUAAUACCGUAUAACACUAUUUUCCGCAUGGAAGAAAGUUGAAAGGCGCUUUUGCGUCACUGAUGGAUGGACCCGCGGUGCAUUAGCUAGUUGGUGAGGUAACGGCUCACCAAGGCAACGAUGCAUAGCCGACCUGAGAGGGUGAUCGGCCACACUGGGACUGAGACACGGCCCAGACUCCUACGGGAGGCAGCAGUAGGGAAUCUUCGGCAAUGGACGAAAGUCUGACCGAGCAACGCCGCGUGAGUGAAGAAGGUUUUCGGAUCGUAAAACUCUGUUGUUAGAGAAGAACAAGGAUGAGAGUAAAAUGUUCAUCCCUUGACGGUAUCUAACCAGAAAGCCACGGCUAACUACGUGCCAGCAGCCGCGGUAAUACGUAGGUGGCAAGCGUUGUCCGGAUUUAUUGGGCGUAAAGCGAGCGCAGGCGGUUUCUUAAGUCUGAUGUGAAAGCCCCCGGCUCAACCGGGGAGGGUCAUUGGAAACUGGGAGACUUGAGUGCAGAAGAGGAGAGUGGAAUUCCAUGUGUAGCGGUGAAAUGCGUAGAUAUAUGGAGGAACACCAGUGGCGAAGGCGGCUCUCUG